rnacentral:lncRNA from 1 species
GAUUAUUUCACAAUAAAAAUAAGUAAUGUAUGCUACACUAUAGAUGCACAAUGACUAAGAGUGAUAUAAAGAAAAUGUGGUUCACACUGUCUUCACUGCACAGCAUUACAGCAAAGGCAGCAUGCUAUUCUUUACAUUGUGUAGACUCAUUCACUAUGUUCCGUUUGUUUAUUUUCUUCUCGACUCCAAAUAAAUUUUGCGUUGAGGACAAGUUUGUCCAUAUUGGUGAAAGUUCAUAAGGUGGGGAGUGUCUGUAUAUUGACUCAAACAAUUUCUGUUAAACUUAUCAUCUGUAAUAAAAAAUAAAAAAUAUUGAUAUUAAAAUUAUGACAUCAAAUAUUCUAAGAAACAAGAUAAGAUUUGUAAAUUAUAAACUGACAUUUAUCAAC